GAGUUUGAUCCUGGCUCAGAUUGAACGCUGGCGGCAGGCCUAACACAUGCAAGUCGAACGGUAACAGGAAGAAGCUUGCUUCUUUGCUGACGAGUGGCGGACGGGUGAGUAAUGUCUGGGAAACUGCCUGAUGGAGGGGGAUAACUACUGGAAACGGUAGCUAAUACCGCAUAACGUCGCAAGACCAAAGAGGGGGACCUUCGGGCCUCUUGCCAUCGGAUGUGCCCAGAUGGGAUUAGCUAGUAGGUGGGGUAACGGCUCACCUAGGCGACGAUCCCUAGCUGGUCUGAGAGGAUGACCAGCCACACUGGAACUGAGACACGGUCCAGACUCCUACGGGAGGCAGCAGUGGGGAAUAUUGCACAAUGGGCGCAAGCCUGAUGCAGCCAUGCCGCGUGUAUGAAGAAGGCCUUCGGGUUGUAAAGUACUUUCAGCGGGGAGGAAGGGAGUAAAGUUAAUACCUUUGCUCAUUGACGUUACCC
rnacentral:rRNA from 1 species